rnacentral:rRNA from 1 species
GAUGAACGCUGGCGGCGUGCCUAAUACAUGCAAGUCGAGCGAACAGAUGAUGAUCUUGCUCCUCUGACUUUAUCGGCUGACGUGUGAGUAACACGUGUAUAACCUACCUAUAAUACUUGUAUAACUUCGUGAAACCGGAGCUAAUACCGGAUAAUAUAUUGAACCGCAUGGUUCAAUAGUUAAAUACGGUUUUUCUUUCUCUUAUAGAUGGAUCCUCGCCGCAUUAGCUAGUUGGUAAGGUAACGGCUUACCAAGGCAACGAUGCGUAGCCGACCUGAGAGGGGGAAAGGAAACACGGGAAGAGAGAAACGGAAAAGAGAACGACGGGAGGAAGAAGAAGGGAAGAGUACGAAAUGGGCGAAAGCAUGAAGGAGCAAAGCAGAGUGAGUGAAGAAGGUAUUAGGAGCGUAAAAAACUGUAAUAAGGGAAGAAAAAAAGUGUAAGAAAAAAUGAACGUAAUGACGGUAACUAAUAAGAAAGCAACGGCUAACUACGUG